rnacentral:rRNA from 1 species
ACGGGAGGCAGCAGUUAGGAAUCUUGCGCAAUGGACGAAAGUCUGACGCAGCGACGCCGCGUGCGGGAUGAAGGCCCUCGGGUUGUAAACCGCUUUCAGCAGGGACGAAAUUGACGGUACCUGCAGAAGAAGCCCCGGCCAACUACGUGCCAGCAGCCGCGGUAAUACGUAGGGGGCAAGCGUUGUCCGGAUUUAUUGGGCGUAAAGAGCUCGUAGGUGGUUCGGUAAGUCGGAUGUGAAAUCUCCAGGCUCAACCUGGAGGGGUCAUUCGAUACUGCCGUGACUAGAGUUCGGUAGGGGAGUGUGGAAUUCCUGGUGGAGCGGUGAAAUGCGCAGAUAUCAGGAGGAACACCCGUAGCGAAGGCGGCACUCUGGGCCGAUACUGACACUGAGGAGCGAAAGCGUGGGGAGCGAACAGGAUUAGAUACCCUGGUA